rnacentral:rRNA from 1 species
UACGUAGGGAGCAAGCGUUGUCCGGAUCUACUGGGUGUAAAGGGUGCGUAGGCGGCCCUGCAAGUCAGAAGUGAAAUCCAUGGGCUUAACCCGUGAACUGCUUUUGAAACUGUAGGGCUUGAGUGAAGUAGAGGCAGGCGGAAUUCCCGGUGUAGCGGUGAAAUGCGUAGAGAUCGGGAGGAACACCAGUGGCGAAGGCGGCCUGCUGGGCUUUAACUGACGCUGAAGCACGAAAGCGUGGGUAGCAAACAGG